rnacentral:rRNA from 1 species
GAUGAACGCUAGCUACAGGCUUAACACAUGCAAGUCGAGGGGCAGCAUGAACUUAGCUUGCUAAGUUUGAUGGCGACCGGCGCACGGGUGAGUAACACGUAUCCAACCUGCCGAUGACUCGGGGAUAGCCUUUCGAAAGAAAGAUUAAUACCCGAUGGCAUAGUUCUUCCGCAUGGUAGAACUAUUAAAAAAUUUCGGUCAUCGAUGGGGAUGCGUUCCAUUAGGUUGUUGGCGGUGUAACGGCCCACCAAGCCUUCGAUGGAUAGGGGUUCUGAGAGGAAGGUCCCCCACAUUGGAACUGAGACACGGUCCAAACUCCUACGGGAGGCAGCAGUGAGGAAUAUUGGUCAAUGGACGAGAGACUGAACCAGCCAAGUAGCGUGAAGGAUGACUGCCCUAUGGGUUGUAAACUUCUUUUAUACGGGAAUAAAGUGAGGCACGUGUGCCUUUUUGUAUGUACCGUAUGAAUAAGGAUCGGCUAACUCCGUG